rnacentral:rRNA from 1 species
UACAGAGGUCUCAAGCGUUGUUCGGAUUCAUUGGGCGUAAAGGGUGCGUAGGCGGCGCGGUAAGUCGGGUGUGAAAUCUCGGAGCUUAACUCCGAAACUGCAUUCGAUACUGCCGUGCUUGAGGACUGGAGAGGAGACUGGAAUUUACGGUGUAGCGGUGAAAUGCGUAGAUAUCGUGAGGAAGACCAGUGGCGAAGGCGGGUCUCUGGACAGUUCCUGACACUGAGGCACGAAGGCCCAGGGGGAGCAAAACGGG